rnacentral:ncRNA from 2 species
UGGGGACAUCGCGAUCUCCCCACGAGGCGACAUGCCCAAGUAUCGC